rnacentral:rRNA from 1 species
CCCCGGAGAAAGCCCCGGCUAAUUCUGUGCCAGCAGCCGCGGUAUUACGGGGGGGGCAAGCGUUUUUCGGAAUUACUGGGCGUAAAGGGCGCGUAGGGGGUCUUUUAAGUCGGACGUGAAAUCCCCCGGCUCAACCGGGGAACUCCGUCCGAAACUGGGGGGCUUGAGUUCGGGAGAGGGAAGUGGAAUUCCAGGUGUAGCGGUGAAAUGCGUAGAUAUCUGGAGGAACACCGGUGGGGAAGGCGGCUUCCUGGGCCGACAUUGACGCUGAGGCGCGAAAGCUAGGGGAGCAAACGGGAUUAGAUACCCCGGUAGUCCUCGCCGUAACCGAGGAGCGCCUGGUGUGGCGGGUAUCGACC